UACGUAGGGUGCGAGCGUUGAUCCGGAAUUACUGGGCGUAAAGCGUGCGCAGGCGGUGAUGUAAGACCGAUGUGAAAUCCCCGGGCUUAACCUGGGAACUGCAUUGGUGACUGCAUCGCUCGAGUAUGGCAGAGGGGGGUAGAAUUCCACGUGUAGCAGUGAAAUGCGUAGAGAUGUGGAGGAAUACCGAUGGCGAAGGCAAUCCCCUGGGCCUGCACUGACGCUCAUGCACGAAAGCGUGGGGAGCAAACAGG
rnacentral:rRNA from 1 species